rnacentral:lncRNA from 1 species
UAAAGCUCUAAAAUUUCAGCUUGCUAUAUCUAUUAAGCUGAAGGUUUUUUCUCAAAGAUAUGUGUCUUUUUCAGAACAUAAAAGAUGAUGGCUAAGAGGGUGUUUGCUAAACUUAUAAACUGCUCAAACUAACUUAUAAGCAUUUUUUGGCUUAUCUACGUAUUUGGUAAAAUUAAAAAUGCUUAUAAGUCAAAAAUAAGCCAAAAGCCAUAAGUUGGUCUCCCUCAACUUAUCAAAUUUCAGCUUAUAAACACUUUAAGUUUGACCAAAAUAUUUACUAUUCUAUUCCUAAAAUACUUCUUUUUAAAACAAAAC